UGCUGAUAUUUAAUCUGAAAUAUGUCUUCGUGCAUUGAUUUAAAAAAAGCUUUGCAAGUUGGUCUCGUCAGCAAAAUUUCUGAUGAAGAAAAUCUUGAAAGUCUUGUUGAAAGUGUCUUGCAAAGUAUGUUAUUAAAAAGCAGGUGUGUUUUAGCAAUGGGGAAAAAGUUUUUCUACGAACAAUUAAAUCAAUCUCUUCCUUCUGCUUACAGG